rnacentral:piRNA from 1 species
AGAGUCAUUUGGGAAGAACCCUCAA